GCCAGGUGUGGUAGUGUGCACCUGUAGUCCCAGCUACUUGGGAGGCUGAGGCAGGGGAAUUGCUUGAACCCGGGAGGCAGAGGUUGCAGUGAGCCGAGACGGUGCCACUGCACUCCAGCCUGGGCAACAGAGCAAGACUCCGUCUCUA
rnacentral:SRP_RNA from 1 species